rnacentral:rRNA from 1 species
UGGUCAGGAGGUUUAUUGGGCCUAAAGCAUCCGUAGCCGGUUGCAUAAGUUUUCGGUUAAAUCUAUGCGCUUAACGUAUAGGCCGCCGAAAAUACUGUGCAGCUAGGGAGUGGGAGAGGUACACGGUACUCGAUAGGAAGGGGUAAAAUCCUUUGAUCUAUUGAUGACCACCUGNNNNNAAGGCGGUGUACCAGAACACGUUCGACGGUGAGGGAUGAAAGCUGGGGGAGCAAACCGGAUUAGAUACCCGGGUAGUCCCAGCUGUAAACGAUGCAGACUCGGUGAUGCAUUGGCUUGUGGCCAAUGCAGUGCCGCAGGGAAGCCGUUAAGUCUGCCGCCUGGGAAGUACGUACGCAAGUAUGAAACUUAAAGNNAUUGGNNGGNNANCACCANNNNGGGUGAAGCCUGCGGUUCANNNGGAGUCAACGNCAGAAAUCUUA